rnacentral:rRNA from 1 species
AUUGAACGCUGGCGGCGUGCCUAAUACAUGCAAGUAGACCGCAGUUGCGAACGGGGGAGUAACGCGUAGGAACCUGCCUGGUAACGGGGGAUAACUAUUGGAAACGAUAGCUAAUACCGCCUACUAGCAGCUGGACCUGCGUUGUAUUAGCGAGUUGGUGGGGUAAAGGCCUACCAAGGCGACGAUCCGUAACUGGUCUGAGAGGAUGAUCAGUCACACUGGAACUGAGACACGGUCCAGACUCCGACGGGAGGCAGCAGUGGGGAAUAUUGGACAAUGGGCGAAAGCCUGAUCCAGCCAUGCCGCGUGUGUGAAGAAGGUCUUCGGAUUGUAAAGCACUUUAAGUUGGGAGGCGUUACCAACAGAAUAAGCACCGGCUAACUUCGUGCCAGCAGCCGCGGUAAUAC